rnacentral:tRNA from 1 species
GCGGCCGUAGUUUAAUGGUAAAACCCCAGCCUUCCAAGCUGGUUAUGUCGGUUCGAUUCCGAUCGGCCGCU